UGCAACUGCAUUAAAAUCUGUCCAAGAGAGCUGGAUAGUGCCAUAAAUGACCCACAUUUAGCUGACUCCUUGAAUUCUGCAACCUGAAGAAAAACAGAGGACGGAGCAUCCAGCAUAGCCCUGAUGGCAGAGGCAGCUGCAACCCGUGCCUUAAGAAAUGGAUCGAACAGCAAACAACUCAUCAGUGUUGCCUCAUACCUCCUUGGCUGUAGGACAUCACUAGAUGGUAAGAGCAUUGUCCACUGAGCUGUAAAUGAUUUUGGAUCCGCUAGGCAAAGGUCCUGGAUACAAAUGAUCGCAGCUAAUCUAGUCUUUCCAUAGGGUGCAUUGCAAGUACCCCUCCCUGAUCCAUCACUAUCGCUGUUUUCUGAAUCAGAUG
rnacentral:misc_RNA from 1 species